rnacentral:rRNA from 1 species
GAUGAACGCUGGCGGCGUGCUUAACACAUGCAAGUCGAACGGGAAAUAUUUCAUUGAGACUUCGGUGGAUCUGAUCUAUUUCUAGUGGCGGACGGGUGAGUAACGCGUGGGUAACCUGCCUUAUACAGGGGGAUAACAGUCAGAAAUGGCUGCUAAUACCGCAUAAGCGCACAGAGCUGCAUGGCUCAGUGUGAAAAACUCCGGUGGUAUAAGAUGGACCCGCGUUGGAUUAGCUAGUUGGUGGGGUAACGGCCCACCAAGGCGACGAUCCAUAGCCGGCCUGAGAGGGUGAACGGCCACAUUGGGACUGAGACACGGCCCAGACUCCUACGGGAGGCAGCAGUGGGGAAUAUUGCACAAUGGGGGAAACCCUGAUGCAGCGACGCCGCGUGAAGGAAGAAGUAUCUCGGUAUGUAAACUUCUAUCAGCAGGGAAGAUAGUGACGGU